GAGAAAUUUAGUUAAAUGUAUAACAUUAAUAUGUCAUAUUAAAAUUAUUAAUAAAUAAUAUUUUCUA
rnacentral:tRNA from 1 species